UGGGAAUGGUGACGACGGAGGAGUUGAUAAUGUAUCUUAUUGACAUUAAUCUUCGUGGAGAUGUUCUUAUUCAUCUCAACAAACUCAUUAAACAGAGGGGAGAAAAUUGCAUCGAUCUUGCUUUGGAGUUGUGGAACUCCUUUAAUACAGUCUACAUACUGCUACAGUAACAGCAGCGUACCGGAGGUUUUCAACCUCGACAUUAACCAUGGAGGAAUCUACUCGAGUUCGUAAUGCUCUUGCUGUACUUCAGGUGAAUAUAUCCUAUUAUACCACUGUACUUCAUGCAGGUUUUCAAAUACCUUGGUUCGGCAUGUAUCGUCAACUUUACAUCUCGUCCAUGCAUUUUAUAUUUACAUGUUUAUUAUCAAGAAAAUGUAAAAGUUUUAAUCAGCAAAAAUAAGCAUGCUUUCAACAGCAUCUUCUUCCUGCGCUUGUUUCAAAACUAGUUUGACUAGAAUGUAAGAUUAGAAUCAUACCUAUGUUAAAAUAAUUUGCUAUUACAGUCUGAAUGUUGUCUUUCUUUCUCGUGGUCUCACGGUUUUUCAAUGUUAAGAUGAUAAGAGGUUAUAGCAUCUCAUGUGUGCAUGAGAGUAAGAAUAUUUGAUGACCAUAACCUAGGAGAAGGAAAGAGGAGCAUUCUAGGAGUAAAGGUCCUACACUUUCCCCCCUGAAAUAUCCAUAAAACAUUGACGUACCAGCAUAAAUGCAGAAAUCCGUUUAUAUUUUUCCGUGGAUAUCUCAUAUCACAAUCAGUAUAAUUAGAUGACAGCACUGGAAUAUGAGUACCAACCUGCUUUAAAAUCUUCAUGCUUAGUUCAUUUUUAUGGAUAAUUUAAGUGUGAUAUGUACAGAGUGUCAUCAGGUAAGUAAAAUUCAUUGAAUAAUUGUUUUUGAAGUAAUAUUCAUGCAGUGCAAUGCUAGAAGGCAGUAGUUGGGUUUUAAACUUUAAAAUGCAGAUGAAGGGAAAAAUUGUCAGAAGAUUUUGUGCAUGGCUACAUGGAAACUGUACACAAGGUAUGAUUCUCCCAAAGUGAAAGUUUCUUACUGAAUAGAUGAUUCCGUAGUCAGUGAUCUUCUGGUAUCAAGAGGAUGAAAAUCAUAAAAUGGAUUUGAUGUUAUUAUAUUGUAGUUUAUUAUUUCACCACCGUGUGCCUCUUUCGUGAUAUGUAACAACCACUCUUUUAUGGCUAUAUGAGUGCAGUGUAUGGUCUCUCACCCAGAAGCAAGAUGGGGGCUUAUCAAAGGUAGCGUGCUUCUUCAAUGCUUCACACUAAAAUGAAUUGUAUGCCAAAUCUUUGUCAAUCUACUGUUAAAAAGUAAGUAUAUUAGUACAGAUGCAAAUGAGUAUGCACAUAUCUAUCAAAAACAACAGGUUUCAACUUAAUAGAUUUUCAAAUGGACGAGUUUAGUUUUGCCUUUUCAUUGAUCUAAGUGUUAUUACAAUACUACAGUUCUAUUCGCUUUUCUUGGCAUAUCAAAUGAGAAAAAAUUGUACCAGUGCAGUUCUUUUUUUUCAUAAGUCAGUUCUUUAUCUAUGUUAUUCUUUUAUCGCUGUAAGCCAGUCCUUUAUCUAUGCCUGUGCCUUGUUAUUUUUUUCUUAAAUGCAAAAGUUCGACAUGGUUUCUGAUUCUAAUGUAGUCCAAACAUGAACUGUAAAUGUUCACACCACUAUCAUUUUUGUGUUUUUGUGCACAUUGUGCCUGCAAAAACCUUUGCUAAGAAGCAUUGUCCAUUUGCCGAUCUGGUUAUCCUCAUACACUUGACUUUUAUGCACUUUAUCAAUAUGUUUUAUCCUCUUAUUUCUACCUUCCUGAUUUUCUUUGUGGAUUGUGACAAGAAGGGGAGCCUUGGCGUAACUGGUAAAGUUAUUGCCAUGUGACCUGGAGGUCACGGGUUCAAGCUGUGAAACAGUCUCUUGCAGAAAUGCAAGGUAAGGCUGCAUACAAUAGACCCUUGUGGUCCGGCCCUUCCCCGCACCCCGCGCAUAGCGGGAGCUUGGUGCACCGGGCUGCCCUUUAUUGUGAUAGGGCACAAGUAAAAGGGAUCAUACACUGAUUGCAGAGUGAACUGGAAAUUGUUCUUGGCUCCUGUUAUUUCAGAAGUAGUUUAUUCUUCUAAUACUUUUUUUUAUGCAGCAAACAUACCACAUUAUCUUUACCCAUUUCUCCAAAUUUCUAAAUGAGAAGCCUCUGGAAUUUGUGAGGCUUGGCAGCUUGGAUCUUAUCGGUGCCCUAGCAAAGUUUGAUGAUCAAUAUGGGCCAGAAAUUCUUAAUUUUUUUCUAGAUACACAAGGUGCCUGCACUGCAUGGAUCAUGGUGAUAAACUGACUGGGAAAUGGUGCAAGUCUUGCGUCAACUGGUAGACAAACUUACUGGAAGCCCUGAUUUACAGCUGCUAAAAUAUGCUGUUCAAUGCUACCUAAGUCUUUCACGAGGAUCAAUGUUAGGCGGGGUAUAUGAUGCUUUGAGAUGCAAUUUUCCUCCACAGCUAACUGACUACACCUUUCACAACUUUUUUCGUGAAGAUCCAGAGAUUUUAAAUAUGCUGCAGAAGAUAUUGUGCAAUAUAAAUCGGCCGGGAUAUAGAUCAUAAUUUCUGGGAAGAGGAGUGAAGCAUCGACUAGCAUGUGCAGAUAGCAAACAUCACAAAUGUCUUGGGAAGGAAUUCAACCAACUUGCUUUAGAGAAUCCAAUCCCUAUAUACUUGUAGGUAGAGGUUAUUCGGCAAAGGAAUAAAGAGCUUUCUUGGGUAACUCAAAUUGUGCUGUUACUAUAGUUGAAUCUUGUGAAGCUUGAAACUUCUUGCAGAGCUUAAACUAGGAGUAUUAGUAUUUCCUUGGUAGUAUACUACAAUUUUGCAGCUUUACUGCAGUAUGUGUAAAUGUUUUGAGUAUGAACCUCCAACUGGUCUUACUGUUCGCUUGCAGCUUUGCUGUAGUAUAUGUAAAUGUUUUGAGUAUGAACCUCC